rnacentral:lncRNA from 1 species
CUCAAGUCCCUCCUGGAAGGGAGCCAGAGGCCCCAGGCAGUCCCGGAGGAAGCUAGCUUUCCCAGGUGAGUGCCUGGUGCACCCCUGCCCCAUCCCUGGGGGCCUAUCCACAGCUCACUGCUGACUCUUCCUUCACCCAGGGACCAAGAAGCCACGCAUUUCCCCAAGGUCUCCACCAAGAGCCUCUCCAAGAAAUGCCUGCUUCUGAGCCCACCUGUGGCGGAGCGUGCCAUCCUGCCCGCACUGAAGCAGACCCCGAAGAACAACUUUGCCGAGAGGCAGAAGAGGCUGCAGGCAAUGCAGAAACGGCGCCUGCAUCGCUCGGUGCUUUGAGCUACCCGCAUCUGGUCAGUGCCAGGCCCACCAACCUGCAGCUGGAGAUUGGCUCUCUAUAGCAUUUCCUGACACUUCCGCUACUUUUAGGCCUGGCUAAAUUCCAAGAUAGAUAACACUCAAGAUAGAUAAAGUACUUGAUCUCC